GUGCAAGUGGCUAUUUCUCUCUCUCUCUCUCUCUCUCUCUGUGUGUGUGUGUGUGUGAGAGAGAGAGAGAGAGAGAGAGAGAGAGAGAGAAUUUGGGGCAG